AGCCAGUUAGCUCAGUCAGUUGAGUGUAGCGCUAACAAUGCUAAGGUUGUGGGUUCGAUUCCUUUUCCGUCCA
rfam:Apaloderma vittatum contig50254, whole genome shotgun sequence.